rnacentral:rRNA from 1 species
CUUUGCACUGGACUUUGAGCCUGCUUGUGUAGGAUAGGUGGGAGGCUUUGAAGCGUGGACGCCAGUUCGCGUGGAGCCAUCCUUGAAAUACCACCCUGGCAUGCUUGAGGUUCUAACUCUGGUCCGUAAUCCGGAUCGAGGACAGUGUAUGGUGGGCAGUUUGACUGGGGCGGUCUCCUCCUAAAGAGUAACGGAGGAGUACGAAGGUGCGCUCAGACCGGUCGGAAAUCGGUCGCAGAGUAUAAAGGCAAAAGC